rnacentral:rRNA from 1 species
GACGAACGCUGGCGGCGUGCUUAACACAUGCAAGUCGAACGAAGUGGCGCACGGGUGAGUAACGCGUAAUCAACCUGCCCUUCAGAGGGGGACAACAGUUGGAAACGACUGCUAAUACCGCAUACUGAAGGCGGGGAUUGCGUCUGAUUAGCUAGUUGGAGGGGUAACGGCCCACCAAGGCGAUGAUCAGUAGGCCGGUUGGUGGGAGUAACGGCCCACUUUGGACUGAGACACGGCCCAGGAUCCUACGGGAGGCAGCAGGGGGGAAUCAUCCGAAAUGGACGAAAGUCUGACGGAGCAACGCCGCGGGGGUGAUGACGGCCUUCGGGUUGUAAAGCUCUGUUAAUCGGGACGCGUUACCGGAAGAGAAAGCCACGGCUAACUACGUGCCAGCAGCCGCGGUAAUAC